rnacentral:rRNA from 1 species
CACGUAGGGUGCGAGCGUUGUCCGGAAUUAUUGGGCGUAAAGAGCUCGUAGGCGGUGUGUCGCGUCGGCCGUGAAAACCUGCAGCUUAACUGUGGGCUUGCGGUCGAUACGGGCAUCACUGGAGUUCGGCAGGGGAGACUGGAAUUCCUGGUGUAGCGGUGAAAUGCGCAGAUAUCAGGAGGAACACCGGUGGCGAAGGCAGCUCGCUGGGACGGUACUGACGCUGAGGCGCGAAAGCGUGGGGAGCAAACAGG